GCCAGCCCUAGCGCGACGGCGCGAAAACCCGUUUCCCCUGACGGGCUGGGCUGUAAAUUUCACUUAAGG
rnacentral:sRNA from 1 species